GAUGAACGCUGGCGGCGUGCCUAAUACAUGCAAGUCGAGCGAACAGAUAAGGAGCUUGCUCCUUUGACGUUAGCGGCGGACGGGUGAGUAACACGUGGGUAACCUACCUAUAAGACUGGGAUAACUUCGGGAAACCGGAGCUAAUACCGGAUAACAUUUGGAACCGCAUGGUUCUAAAGUGAAAGAUGGUUUUGCUAUCACUUAUAGAUGGACCCGCGCCGUAUUAGCUAGUUGGUAAGGUAACGACUUACCAAGGCGACGAUACGUAGCCGACCUGAGAGGGUGAUCGGCCACACUGGAACUGAGACACGGUCCAGACUCCUACGGGAGGCAGCAGUAGGGAAUCUUCCGCAAAGGGCGAAAGCCUGACGGAGCAACGCCGCGUGAGUGAUGAAGGGGUUCGGCUCGUAAAACUCUGUUAUUAGGGAAGAACAAACGUGUAAGUAACUGUGCACGUCUUGACGGUACCUAAUCAGAAAGCCACGGCUAACUACGUG
rnacentral:rRNA from 1 species